UACAGAGGGGGCAAGCGUUGUUCGGAAUUACUGGGCGUAAAGUGUGCGCAGGCGGCCGAGCAAGUCGAGUGUGAAAGCCCCGAGCUUAACUUGGGAACUGCGCUCGAAACUACUUGGCUAGAGUGUGGCAGAGGGAGGUGGAAUUCCACGUGUAGCGGUGAAAUGCGUAGAGAUGUGGAGGAACACCGAUGGCGAAGGCAGCCUCCUGGGCCAACACUGACGCUCAUGCACGAAAGCGUGGGGAGUAAACAGG
rnacentral:rRNA from 1 species